ACGGGUGAGUAAUACAUCGGAACGUGCCCAGUAGUGGGGGAUAGCCCGGCGAAAGCCGGAUUAAUACCGCAUACGACCUACGGGUGAAAGCGGGGGAUCGCAAGACCUCGCGCUAUUGGAGCGGCCGAUGUCAGAUUAGCUAGUUGGUGGGGUAAAAGCCUACCAAGGCGACGAUCUGUAGCUGGUCUGAGAGGACGACCAGCCACACUGGGACUGAGACACGGCCCAGACUCCUACGGGAGGCAGCAGUGGGGAAUUUUGGACAAUGGGCGCAAGCCUGAUCCAGCCAUGCCGCGUGCGGGAAGAAGGCCUUCGGGUUGUAAACCGCUUUUGUCAGGGAAGAAACGGCCUGAUCUAAUACAUCGGGCUAAUGACGGUACCUGAAGAAUAAGCACCGGCUAACUACGUGCCAGCAGCCGCGGUAAUACGUAGGGUGCAAGCGUUAAUCGGAAUUACUGGGCGUAAAGCGUGCGCAGGCGGCUUUGCAAGACAGAUGUGAAAUCCCCGGGCUCAACCUGGGAACUGCAUUUGUGACUGCAUGGCUAGAGUGCGGCAGAGGGGGAUGGAAUUCCGCGUGUAGCAGUG
rnacentral:rRNA from 1 species